UCGUUAACUACAAUACUUAUCUUCUCUAUUCUCAAAGUAAUUAGCUGUAGAAAAGCAAUUCAAACAUUUUUGUCGGAGACGGUGAAUCUCAAUGACGAAACAAAAUCCAAAUUUUGGAGUUAUACAAUUCCCUCGUGUAUAAAUUGCUCUAGAAGCUAUAUGGCAGCGUUUCGACAUUGUUCGAGUUCUCUUCUAUCAUCAGUCUGAAUAAUUUGAGAUGGUCGAUCUCCAAUACAGUCCCGCUUUUCUCUUUCUCGCCAAAAUCACAUGUUCUUUUGACCAUGACACCACUGCCGGAUACAAUCUCUGCAUCAUCACAGCAUCAAACCAGGCACUAAAAGGAGCUGGCAAGUCGCUCCAAACCGACUCGAAUCUUUAACUCUCUACUCUUGGCCAGUUCGACCCAUCGAAAGCAUUCUCUCGGCUACCUCUGUCUCAUAUUCAUUUAGCUAGUGAAAAAUUUGUAUCUCUUUGUAAGAGAUUCAAAGACCCUGUACGCGGGUUGGUGCCACUGUUGUCAGCUGUUCUCAGCAGCCUGUUCAUAAGGUUUAGGUCUCCACCAAACUUUAGUGAUUGAUGAAAUGCUUUUCUUGUGGACUCGAUUGAUUAGGCUAAUAUUAGUUUAGGAUCACUUGAAUAUGUGAGAGAUUGCAAUAAAUGGGAACACUUGUGUAUCUUUAGAGAUUUAUUGGUGAAAGUAGAUACUUGCGGAGCUGAGUUAUCUGUCUCCAUUGUGGUUUCUUUGAUUACACAAUAUCAAUGGAUUGUGAUGUCAAGGUGUAAAUGUUCUGUAUUACAUGGCUUGCUCACAUUUUUAAUUUAUGUACGUCAAUAAGUAUCCA